UCCCUCCAGAUUCCUUAGCCCUCAAACCUACACCGUGGUCUGAGUGGCUUAAAGAAAAGAGGAGGAAAAUGAAACUGAAAUGAACUUGGAGUCUUGUGACAGACAAGUUCACUCCAAACAAUA
rnacentral:snoRNA from 1 species